rnacentral:rRNA from 1 species
AUUGCCUCAGUAACGGCGAGUGAAGCGGCAAAGCUCAAUUUGAAAUCUAGCACUUUCAGUGUUCGAGUUGUAAUUUGAAGAAGGUAACUUUGGUUUUGGCUCUUGUCUAUUUUCCUUGGAACAGGACGUCACAUAGGGUGAGAAUCCCGUGCGAUGAGAUGCCCAAUUCCUUGUAAAGUGCUUUCCAAAAAUCCAGUUGUUUGGGAAUGCAGCUCUAAAUGGGUGGUAAAUUCCAUCUUAAGCUAAAUAUUGGCGAGAGACCGAUUGCGAACAAGUACCGUGAUGGAAAGAUGAAAAGAACUUUGAAAAGAGAGUGAAAAAGUACGUGAAAUUGUUGAAAGGGAAGGGCUUGAGAUCAGACUUGGUAUUUUGCGUUCCCUUCCUUUUUGGUUGGGUUCCUCGCAGUUUACUGGGCCGGCAUCGGUUUGGAUGGUAGGAUAAUGACAUUGGAAUGUAGCUUUACUUCCGUGAAGUGUUAUAGACUUUGUUGAUACUGCCUAUCUAGACCGAGGACUGCGUCUUUGACUAGGAUGCUGGCGUAAUGAUCUUAAGCCGCCCGUCUUGA